CGGAAUUGGGAGCUGCGCGUUAGCGAAUGGGGUUUCGACACAUAGGCAAGAGAAACCAGCUUCCGUUUGGCCAUUUUGGGCGGGGAGUCGUUCGCCGACUUUGCUGUAACUAAUAUUCUAAAAACAUACUAAGACUUGAAAAAAGGAGUUUUUCUCAGUGAAACUGGGCUGUCAUGCAGAUGUUCUUUCUCUAGUUUAUGGGACUGCAGAUCAUCACUGGUUCUGGUUUUCCUCAAGGCUACGGGAAACGGCGCAAAGCGCCAAGCUUAGGACUCUGUGUUCCUUUGUCAGCAGGGAGGUUGGAGCCGGAGACCCACCCACAACGCUUCUACCUACACCGAAGAGCCCACAAAGAGCACCAUGAUAGGUGCUUGGUUGCUCUCAAGAGGCCAACUAAAAGCCUCCGUAGGCUUACUCGGGAUGGACUGACUGCCCUUUGCUGAUUCCCAACUGCUGUGCGGCAAGUAACCUCAAGAAAUCAGAAGAGGGUAUCAGCUCCCUGGGAACUAGAGUCACAGUUUGUGAACCACCAUGCAAAUGCUGGGAAUUGAACCUGCAUCCUUAGGAAGAGCAACCAGUGCUCUUAACCACUAAGCAUUAUCUCUGCAGCCCAGGAUUUGAUUUUUUUUUUUAAAUUUUCAUUUUGAGAUUCUGUUCUCAAACUGUGAUAUGUGGAUCCGGGUAGCCUUGAAUUCAAAGAGAUCCUCCUGUCUCUGCCUCCCAAAUGUGUACCACUAUCCCUGGAUAAAAACUUUUUAAUAUUAUGUUAUAUCUAGCACAGAAAACCUGGAAACUGAGCAAGAAUAAACAGGCAAAGAAUUAGGAUACUCACAGGAACACUGUAGUCUUGAAUUUACCCCCAUGUCAUUAAAUGACCAUCAAUCCCAGGGGCUGAGUAACAAUCCACUGGCAAGAUGCCUUAUUUCUUUUCUAACCUUGUAGCCUCAGAUAUUGGCAUGAACCUCUCCUGGGUAAAAUGCCUGUGUGUAUCAUCAUACAUGCAGUUUUGCCUACAUUUACCAUGGGCACAUUUGGUUACAUGGGAGUUAUUUCUGUAAGUAGUUAUAAGUGCUUCAGGGAGUGAGCUCAGAAAUAAAACCCAAAACCAAACCAGACUUUUAUCUUUGGGUAGCAUUUGG